GUUCCGCACUUAAAGCAGGCGCAGCUUUGUGUUCCGCGCUUUUGUGGAACACCCGGGGGCUGGAACCGCACGCAGCGCAGGGCCCGCUCCAUAUGGAGCAGCCGGGAGCC